CGGGGCGUAGCGCAGAUGGUAGCGCGCACGGUUCGGGACCGUGAGGUCGUGGGUUCGAAUCCCGCCGCCCCGACCA
rnacentral:tRNA from 2 species